GAAGCGCGUACACACGGCCCGUGACUCUUGGGAGCCAUAGUCGUUCAGUACAUAGGAAAUUUUUCUCGGGAAGGGGAGGCAAGUCGGAACAUGGUUAGUG
rnacentral:rRNA from 1 species